UACUUGUCAAGACCUGUCUAGGCAUGAACUA
rnacentral:piRNA from 1 species